GACGAACGCUGGCGGCGUGCCUAAUACAUGCAAGUCGAGCGAAGCGGCGGAUGGGUGAGUCACGCGUGGGUAACCUGCCCUUCAGUCUGGGAUACCAUUUGGAAACAGAUGCUAAUACCGGAUACUUAAGGAUGGACCUGUGAGGCAUUAGCUAGUUGGUAAGGUAACGGCUUACCAAGGCGAUGAUGCGUAGCCGGGUUGAGGGGCUGAUCGGCGAAAGUGGGACUGAGACACGGCCCAAAGUCCUACGGGAGGCAGCAGGAGGGAAUCUGCCGCAAUGGACGAAAGGCUGAUGGAGCAACGCCGCGUGAGUGAAGAAGGUUUUCGGGUCGUAAAGCUCUGUUGUUGGUGAAGCGGUAAUCAACCAGAAAGCCACGGCUAACUACGUGCCAGCAGCCGCGGUAAUUC
rnacentral:rRNA from 1 species